AUUGAACGCUGGCGGCAUGCCUUACACAUGCAAGUCGAACGGCAGCACGGGUGCUUGCCCCUGGUGGCGAGUGGCGAACGGGUGAGUAAUACAUCGGAACAUGUCCUGUAGUGGGGGAUAGCCCGGCGAAAGCCGGAUUAAUACCGCAUACGAUCUACGGAUGAAAGCGGGGGACCUUCGGCCCUCGCGCUAUCGGGUUGGCCGAUGGCUGAUUAGCUAGUUGGUGGGGUAAAGGCCUACCAAGGCGACGAUCAGUAGCUGGUCUGAGAGGACGACCAGCCACACUGGGACUGAGACACGGCCCAGACUCCUACGGGAGGCAGCAGUGGGGAAUUUUGGACAAUGGGCGAAAGCCUGAUCCAGCAAUGCCGCGUGUGUGAAGAAGGCCUUCGGGUUGUAAAGCACUUUUGUCCGGAAAGAAAUCCUUGGCCCUAAUACGGUCGGGGGAUGACGGUACCGGAAGAAUAAGCACCGGCUAACUACGUG
rnacentral:rRNA from 1 species